GAGUUUGAUCCUGGCUCAGGAUGAACGCUGGCGGCGUGCUUAACACAUGCAAGUCGAACGGGGAUGCUGACGGAAGGGGUGCUUGCACUCUGGAAGUAAGGAUCUUAGUGGCGGACGGGUGAGUAACGCGUGGGUAACCUGCCCCAUACCGGGGGAUACCACCUGGAAACAGGUGCUAAUACCGCAUAAGCGCACGGGAGCGCAUGCUCCUGUGUGAAAAACUCCGGUGGUAUGGGAUGGACCCGCGUCUGAUUAGCCAGUUGGCAGGGUAACGGCCUACCAAAGCGACGAUCAGUAGCCGGCCUGAGAGGGUGGACGGCCACAUUGGGACUGAGACACGGCCCAAACUCCUACGGGAGGCAGCAGUGGGGAAUAUUGCACAAUGGGGGAAACCCUGAUGCAGCGACGCCGUGUGAGUGAAGAAGUAUUUCGGUAUGUAAAGCUCUAUCAGCAGGAACGAGACAAGACGGUACCUGACUAAGAAGCCCCGGCUAACUACGUGCCAGCAGCCGCGGUAAUACGUAGGGGGCAAGCGUUAUCCGGAAUCACUGGGUGUAAAGGGAGCGUAGACGGCUGUGCAAGCCUGAAGUGAAAGGCGGGGGCCCAACCCCCGGACUGCUUUGGGAACUGUACGGCUGGAGUGCAGGAGAGGUAAGUGGAAUUCCUAGUGUAGCGGUGAAAUGCGUAGAUAUUAGGAGGAACACCAGUGGCGAAGGCGGCUUACUGGACUGUA
rnacentral:rRNA from 1 species